UAUGGCCAUUUCCGAUGAUCUAAUAAUAAUUAAUCAUUGUAUUAGUCAUAGUUAGUCAUAAGAAGAAUGCUUGUCUCAGCUAUUUUCAUAUAAUUAUAAAUACGACUCCAGUCAUUUAUGAGUCAGUUCAUAAGUUGCUUCGCCGUGGAUCACAUAUUUUGUAAUUUCGUAAAAUAAAGUUUUUUUUAAAAAGCUUAGUUGCGAAUUACUGAAUAAAAUUGUAGUCUCAGUUUUUACGUGCUAAACUUUAAAAUAAAUUGUGCUAACAUGCUGGAAGAGGAUUCAGAAUGUUAGCACUCGUUCGAAAUAAUCAACAAAGUGAAAUUCCUGAAGUGGACAGGGUAUUACCUCCAGAACAUUCAAUGCCUGAAUCUAACCUUCAAACAGGCUAAAUACCAAAAGCAUCAGAACCUAUUAGUCAAGUCGAAUCUGAAGAAAUCACGUCACCCCUACUUUUCCUAACAGAAUGUACACCCAUAAGUACAACCCACCUUACUGGUUAUAACUGACUCUCAUAUAAGUGCAACAAAAACUAAUAUAAUAAUUGAAUGUCCUGAAGAUAUUGCUCAUGAGCUUGGCAUCACAGUCGAUGAUGGCGAACCAAAAUCAAACCAAGCAGAGCCUUCCACCUCAACUGGGAAAAAUAGUUUUUGUGUUCAAAAUCAGCAUGCAAAUAAUAAUUCUGAUGAUGAAAAUUCUUCACACUCUAAUGAAAGUUAUGAAUCUGACAUGCCUUACGGGCCAUCCAGUGAUAAAAAUGGCUCAAGCACUGACGACGAAGUUUUCAUAAAUGACGAAAACAGACAAGAAGCUGCAAAUCUUGCAAUUCCCAAAGAAAAGCAAGAGCGAAAGCGUUCUUUAAAGGGUCAAAGUGACUGCUCAUUAUGGCAAAAAAAUAUAAAUAUUGCUAAAAGAAGAAAAGGAGAAGACAACAUAGAUUGGGGCCAAAAAAAAGUAUUUGUUUCAGGACUAAUAGAUGUUUGUCCACCAAAAUCAAGAAAAAAUGAUCAACAAAAAAAUCUGUUACUUUAGUUUAUCACUUAAAAAAAGAUAACCAAAGGUUAAGCGUAUGCAAACAGAUGUUUUUAAAUAAAUUGGGCAUCGGAGAAUGGACUGCUAGAGAAUGGGCUUUAAAAGGACACCAUAAGUCUUCUCUUAACAUAGAAAAAUUAAAAGUUCAGCUAAAACCCAAACAAAAUAAACAUUUGGAAUCAUUUCUAAAUGUUCUGCCGAAAAUGCCUUCGCAUUACUGCAGGUCCCAAUCUAGCAAGUUAUAUCCCAAUAUAGCAAUUUAGAGUCGAUCUUUAAAUCCAAACAAGAAGUUUAUGACGUAUAUGUCGAAAACUGCGCUAAAGCCAAAGUAAAGCCAUUAUCCCUUACUCAAUUUAAAAAAAAAAUUUACACAAAUGAACAUUGAGUUAUUUCAACCUAAAAAAGAUCAAUGCGAUCUAUGUUGCAUGCACGAAGUAAAUAACCUAAGUGAGGAAAAAUGGCUGGAACAUCAACAAAGGAAGGAAGAUGCAAGAAAAGAAAUGCAAGAAGACACUAAUAAAGCUAAAUUAGAUAAAAGCACACUGGUGAUCACAAUGGACUUACAGGCGGUUCUUUUGUCUCCACUUUUGAAAGCCUCAGCCAUAUACUCCAAAAAAAACUAAUAUUUCACAACUUUACAUUGUUUAAUAAUGUUACACACGCAGUUUCCUGUUUCGUCUGGCAUGAGGGCGAGGGAAAUGUUACAGUUAAUGAGUUUUCCUCGUGCAUUGUAGACUAUAUUGAGAAAAAUCAUUAUGAACAAUUAAAAAAAAUAAUUCUAUGGAGUGAUGGUUGCACAUAUCAAAAUAGGAACUCUAUUUUAUCAAACGCACUUCUGCAAUAUUCAGCACUAAAAAAUGUGAGUAUUAUACAAAAGAUUUUAGAGAAAGGCUAUACACAAAUUAGUUGCGAUUCUGUGCAUAGCGUAAUAGAACGCAAAAUUAAGAAUAGAAUUAUCAGUGUUCCUGCUGAUUACGUGAAUAUAAUUGAAACAGCACGAAAACAUCCUAUGCCUUACAAUGUGAUUUAUUUAGAACAUACAUUUUUUAAAGCAUAUUCUAAUUUAAAAUAUUAUAGUUCUAUUCGUCCCGGAAAAAAGGCAGGUGAUCCAGUUGUUACAGACAUAAGAGCCUUGAAGUAUAAUGGAUCAAACCUUACUAUUGAAUACAAAUUGAAAAUGACAGAUAUUUGGCAGCCUAUACCUCAAAGACCAGGGAAAUUUUUAACUAGAAAGCCUGCGGAUUUAUAUACCACUGCUCCUGGAAUUCAAAAGAACAAGUAUGACCACUUGCAAGAGGUAACCAAAGUUCUUAAAGCAGACUACCAUCUGUUUUACAAAAAUUUAAAUUAUUAUUAAUUUAUAAAUAUUAUAAGUUUUUGUUAAAUAUUUCACAAAGUUUGUAAGUUU